GGAGUCUGGGCCGUGUCUCAGUCCCAAUGUGGCCGUUCAACCUCUCAGUCCGGCUACUGAUCGUCGGCUUGGUGAGCCGUUACCUCACCAACUACCUAAUCAGACGCGAGCCCAUCUCUGAGUGAUAAAUCUUUGAUAGAUAAGUCAUGCGGCUCAUCUAUGUUAUGAGGUUUUACCAUCCGUUUCCAGAAGCUAUCCCUCUCUCAGAGGCAGGUUGCUCACGUGUUACUCACCCGUCCGCCACUAAGAAUGCAAAGCAAGCUAAGCAUUCUCCGUUCGACUUGCAUGUGUUAGGCGUGCCGCCAGCGUUCGUC
rnacentral:rRNA from 1 species